GGGGCUGGCUUUCUUGAUUAGAAUGCACUUGCGUACACCCAACUCUCUGUACCACCCAUUGUAACACGUGUGUAGCCCCGGACGUAAGGGCCGUGCUGAUUUGACGUCAUCCCCACCUUCCUCACACCUUACGGUGGCAGUGUCUCCAGAGUGCCCAGCAUAACCUGAUGGCAACUGAAGAGAGGGGUUGCGCUCGUUAUGGCACUUAAGCCGACACCUCACGGCACGAGCUGACGACAACCAUGCAGCACCUCCAUAGGCGCCCCGAAGGGCCUCACCAUCUCUGGAUCGUUCGCCUACAGUUCAAGCCCGGGUAAGGUUCCUCGCGUAUCAUCGAAUUAAACCACAUGUUCCUCCGCUUGUGCGGGCCCCCGUCAAUUCCUUUGAGUUUCACCGUUGCCGGCGUACUCCCC
rnacentral:rRNA from 1 species